AGCCCAGGUGGGAGCCUGGAAGAGGUCCUUCAUACAGGUUAAGCGUCCAAGCCAGUUCCAAAGGAGGAGGGAAGGGACGCUGGUGUCAGAACCACUGGGUGCAUUUCAUAUCCGGGUGCAGACAAGUGUGCAUAGUAAACGGUGCUUGGAGAAUUCUUAAAAGCAAAACAAGCCCCCCCCCCCAAAAAAAUUUUUAAAUUUAAAAAAGCUGCUCCAGGUAAAAGCAAGCUCCAGCAGAUUUGCUGGGAGGGGCGGGGCGGCCGGGGAGGAAAUGGCUUUCAGGUGACUUUGAAACAGGAUCCGGACGGAGGUGAGGGAAGGCGGCGGGGCCCCGGCUGCGGGGGAGGAGGCUGCGCCGGCCUCGCGGCCGGGGACGCGGACCCACAUUCCUCAGGGAGGAGGGUCUGCGCCGCCCCGCGGAGCCCCGCGGAGCCCAGCACCGGCCACUGGGAAGGUGAAAGUCGAGAAUGUGGAAGGGGACUCGGAGGUAAACAGCCGCCGCGGCUCGACCAGAUGCAGCCGGCCAGGCUCCGGGCUGGAGGACAAUUUGAGGAGGCCCGGUCCAUCCUCAGGCCUCCGCUUUCUUUGAUCCCGCUUUCUUUUCUCUGAUCACCGGGAUCCCACUAGUACCUUCCUGCCCACCUGGUAUUCCAGCUUCCUGAGAAUUAGUUGUGAUUCAACUAAUCCUUGAGCGCGCACCCCUAACUCCUCCACCGGGGCGGGAAAUAGUGUUAAUGACUGUGACAAUAAUUCAUUUAGCGUAUGCUUACCGUUUGUAGGUACUAUGCGGUUUACGUUAUCUCCCACCGUCCUCACAGCCGCCUAGGUAGCCAGUAACUUAUCUUUGUGCCCAUUUUACAGAUUGGAUAACUGAGGAUGGGAGGGUUCUAGCCAACUUGGCCAAGAUUGUGUAACCAACAAAAGGAGUGCAAGACAAAAUCCCAGACGCACUCAGUAAAGUAAUGCUGAAUCAGAUGAAAUAACCCGAACUUUUUGGGAGAAAUCUCCAAUCUCACCUCUAAGAAUAAAAACCUGAGUCUGGGCCCAGGAGCUCUGGGCUGCAGCUCCUCUAUCCACAACUCACAGCCCCUCCUUCCUGCCCCUGUCCAUUCUUGCUUUAGUAGCUUCACUCUCCCUGCUAUUAAAUCAUUUAUUGUUAUAAUAAUA